AUUGAACGCUGGCGGCAGGCCUAACACAUGCAAGUCGAGCGGAUGAAGGGAGCUUGCUCCUGGAUUCAGCGGCGGACGGGUGAGUAAUGCCUAGGAAUCUGCCUGGUAGUGGGGGAUAACGUCCGGAAACGGGCGCUAAUACCGCAUACGUCCUGAGGGAGAAAGUGGGGGAUCUUCGGACCUCACGCUAUCAGAUGAGCCUAGGUCGGAUUAGCUAGUUGGUGGGGUAAAGGCCUACCAAGGCGACGAUCCGUAACUGGUCUGAGAGGAUGAUCAGUCACACUGGAACUGAGACACGGUCCAGACUCCUACGGGAGGCAGCAGUGGGGAAUAUUGGACAAUGGGCGAAAGCCUGAUCCAGCCAUGCCGCGUGUGUGAAGAAGGUCUUCGGAUUGUAAAGCACUUUAAGUUGGGAGGAAGGGCAGUAAGUUAAUACCUUGCUGUUUUGACGUUACCAACGAAUAGCACCGAAUU
rnacentral:rRNA from 1 species